GUGGGGAAUAUUGCACAAUGGGCGAAAGCCUGAUGCAGCGACGCCGCGUGAAGGAAGAAGGUCUUCGGAUUGUAAACUUCUAUCAGCAGGGAAGAAUAAUGACGGUACCUGACUAAGAAGCCCCGGCUAACUACGUGCCAGCAGCCGCGGUAAUACGUAGGGGGCAAGCGUUAUCCGGAUUUACUGGGUGUAAAGGGUGCGUAGGCGGCAGUGCAAGUUUGAUGUGAAACCUUAAGGCUUAACCUUAAGCAUGCAUCAAAAACUGCAUAGCUAGAGUACAGGAGAGGAAAGUGGAAUUCCUAGUGUAGCGGUGAAAUGCGUAGAUAUUAGGAGGAACACCAGUAGCGAAGGCGGCUUUCUGGACUGUAACUGACGCUGAGGCACGAAAGCGUGGGGAGCAAACAGGAUUAGAAACCCUAGUAGUCC
rnacentral:rRNA from 1 species